rnacentral:rRNA from 1 species
CCCUUAGAUGUCCGGGGCCGCACGCGCGCUACACUGAAGGAAUCAGCGUGGCUUUCUCCCUGACCCGAAAGGGUUGGGAAACCCGUUGAAUCUCCUUCGUGAUAGGGAUUGGGGCUUGAAAUUGUUCCCCAUGAACGAGGAAUUCCCAGUAAGCGCGAGUCAUAAGCUCGCGUUGAUUACGUCCCUGCCCUUUGUACACACCGCCCGUCGCUACUACCGAUUGAACGGUUUAGUGAGGGCCUCGGAUUGGUCUCGGCCCGCUCUUUACCGGGCGGCGCCGUUGGUAGAGAAGACGCUCGAACUUGAUCGUUUAGAGGAAGUAAAAGUCGUAACA